CUCAGGGAGUUCUGUACGCCGCUGAGUGGUAUUGCUCGCUUAGUGGAGCGAUUUACUCCCCAGAUUU
rnacentral:snoRNA from 26 species